CAUCUCAGCAGAGCUUGCAUUCUCUAGAAGUUAUUUCUGUGCCAAUGUAGGCCCUAUUUUUAAUUUUAUUUAUCAAUUUCAGUUCGGUUUAUUAUGAAAAGACAUCCUUUAAAAAGCAGUUCAUUCACAUCAAAGUUUGAUUAAAUGAUGAUAUCUCUGAAUAGGUUAUAUAUUUUUUCAUUCAUAUCAGGCAUUUCUUUAUUUCCAAUGGCUGCUGAUUCACCUCAAGAAAGGGAGGGCCGUCAUGCAGCUGGUAAUGAGCUGGUUCAAAUAGGUACAGAUGCUCUGUCUAAAUCGCAUCUAAAGACCUGAAAGAAGUAUGUUGAUGUCCAUGUUAAAUGGAGACAACAGGUUCCAGCAAGAUUACAAAGCCCCUCUAUCAAAGAGUACUCUAGUUACUACAUGUAGGGAGGCCUAUUUCUAUGAGACAAGGAGAUGCUACUUACCAUUGGACCAUGUCUAGUAAUGGAUUGUUAAUCUAUUUGGCAGUGAGAUUAUUUGAUGAUCCUCAAUCUGGAAGCGUACCAUUUUUUAUUUCAGGUACUUCCUUCUGUAUAGACCAAGCCAGGGUGAACUGAAACUUCAUUUUGCAAACAUUACUGGAUGAGGUUGAAGGGUUGCCAUGGUUCACAGAGGAACCGUUGAUCACACAAAACAGCAUCAAUGAUGAUUCUUCAAGGAAUUUGCACUGGUCACUACUGCUUGAUGCCAUGUCCAUCAAGAAACAAAUGCAAUAAGACAGGACCAUUGAUAAAAACACUGGAUUUACACCUAUGGGGAUCACCUGCCACCCAAGUCCUGGUGUCCAUGGUCCAUUGACUAGGUUGUUUCCUGAUUACCAAGCCUCCAGCAACACUCCAGGCAGCUGUAAUAAGGGAAUGCCUGUUGCGUCAGCAUGGCAAUGGCAUCCACAAAUAAAAUGCUAAAAUUUGUGACGGGGCAGUCCACAAGCUUGGAACUAACCUCGAUCCAAAGAAUCUGAAAGUACUGUAAGGAAUGCAAGGAUCAAAGCACUGCUGGACAAGGAGAAACUCCCUGGAACAGCAUCUGCAAUUAAUUCACAUCAAGAAUAAUAGAGGCCUGAUAUAUCAGGUUAGGGUAAUGAGUUCUACUAAAUCUGCUCCAAUACACAGAUCAACCUUACAUUUACAUUACUGUGAGGAAUGCAAGUAUUAAAGCACUGGUGGACAAGGAGAAACAGUCCCAGGAGCAGCAUCUUCAACUAAUUCACUUCAAGAAUAAUGGAGGCCUGAUAUAUCCAUCCUAGUCAUUUCUAAUCACUGCAAUGGUUCCAGAGAAGAUGAUACAACAGGAGGGUCUCCAGCCUACCACUGGAAAAGGAAUCAGAAAGAAAAGUUGCCUAAAGUUAUCACUUGAUUGAACUACAGGAUACUUUUUCCUGGUCAUUAGUGCCAUAUGUUGCAGCUAAUGAAAGUUAUAGUUCAUUACUACCUAAUAACAAGGCUAAACUAUGUCAUUGAUUCCUACUCGACGGAUAUUCGUGGACAGAAAGUUAAGAAUCAUCUAUCAAGAAUGGCAACACUCCAAAAUCAGUAAAAUGUGCAGUUUAUGAGGUUUAACAUUGAAAAACUAGGGCAACUACUAACAUGUAAUCAGUGAAAAGUUGAUUGCAUGAUGUCAAACAUAAUCUCCUUGAUCAGGAAAAAAUAAGCAAAAAAAUUGUCCAAAGAUGACAAACGUAUUUCAGAAUAUUACCAGAGGACAAGGUUGUAUUAUAACCUUGUGCAUCAUGCGAUCAUGAUAGGUACAAUUAUUUUGAGAAGGCAAUGGGUUGCCAAUCAUCCUCGAUGUAUGUUACAGCGGCCCACCUCAAACAGCGACUUCUGGUGCAUCAACGAUAAUGCCAAGUGAAAAGUUUGGUUUUGAGUGUGAAAGGAGAGUAUGAGCAAGAGUUGCUGUCAAAGAGUGCAUUGAGGGCUGUGUUAACAAGGUGGAUUGCUUUGAUUUUCUGCUUGCAUGCUAAAAUAUAGGUGAGUGGUUAGGAGAUGUUUGCACAAUCAGGAAUGAAAUCGAGAUAGGCUUUACAUAGUCCAAGAAAUUCCUUGAGUUUUCAAAGAGAAUCAGGGACAGGGAAAUUUUGGAUGACCAUGACCUCCUCCCAGAGAGGGUGAAUGCAGUUUUCAUCAAUGAUUUGUACAAGGAAGACAAGGGAGGAUUGCGCCAAAUUUACUCCUUGCUGAGUUGUUGAUGAUGCCAUGUUUUAAGAGACGAGCAAAGAGUUACUGGAGGUUUGCUCCUCAGUGAUGCUUCAUUCAAGUAUGUGUGGUCGGAUUCUGCUUUUGGUUGCUAAGAGGAUCAAAUGGAUAGGCAUUUCGUCAUUGGUGAUGUGAUUAUAAAAAAGGCGUGGAAUGUUGGGAAAAUUGCCAUCAAAUUUACACUGAUGACGCCAUAUUUUGAGGGUCUAGCAAUGAGUAAAUGGAGGAUUAAUGGCUCAUCCUCAACGAUGCAUACAUGUAGUUCUAGGAUGUGGUUGCAUUCCUGUAAGAAUUUACAAGGUGGUACACAUUUAUGAGGAUUGGUACUAACGCUGAUGAUAAUAGCAUUAAUCUUCAUCGUGUUGAUGUGAGGGAGAAUGGAUAUCACGGUUGUUAUGAUGUUGAUAAUUCAUGGUGUCAACAAGAUUCAAGAGUUGUACAUUUUUACUGAUACUGAUACCAAGAUAAUUGAUAUUCAUGAAGAUCUUUCCAGUGACAUGGCAGAAUUCAUUUCAUGAAUUAUUUAAAAGGGCUUUUUGAUCUUCAAAUGAUCCUGAUGGGCGAAGCCUAAAGGACAUUUGUUUUGCAUUGAACGUACUCAUAGUGGUCUAGUAACAUAUACAAGCGUCUUUUGGCAAGAUCGAGCGAUAAGUCGAUAAGCGCUGGAGCGGCACUUUCAUUUCGGCUCCUUUCUCAUUCGUUGCAUAACACUUUUUAAAAAUUUUGCUGUGACUCCAGCUGGGUAUAACCUCCUUGGUCGGGCUAUCAUUCAAACAGAGUGAUUGAUACACCUGGGCAUAAAUACAUGUCACACUAUUCAAGUGGGUAUGGGGGAAUGAGACAAUAGUUCACCCCACACCUCCCCUCACCCCCUGAACAAUAGAUUUUCUUCUUGAAUUUUAUGCCAGUGCUGAUACACAUGUUUGCUGAUGUUAGGAAAUUAUUUGAAAAACAAACAUUCAUCUAACAUAUUAAAGAUACAUAUAUCUCAUAGAAUUCUUCAUGUAAAUCAAUCUAAGAAGAGCCCCCGUUAAUGAUUGCAAUGGCUGUUUGACAUCUACAUCCAUU